UAAACAGAAUAUGGUCAAUGAGAUAAAUGUGUGAUAAAGCAGGAAGGAAAGAGCAGCUCACCAGUAACUGAUGUGAUAAAAAAUUAGCUUCUGAAUAGGGCAUGAAGCAGAGGAGCUUUUUACUGCAUCUGGAAAAAAACAGCAGUUGAGAUAGGAUUCAGGAAGGAUAUCAAGCUGCCCAGAAAAUUUGAUGAUUUAAAUGUUUUGAAAAAGUCUUAACAUUCUCAAAGCACUGAUGGACAAAAAUUCAAUCCAGUCACAACAUAAUUACAGCUAAGGCGUGUAAUGGGAUGGACAUUGUCUAGGACUGAUAAUUCAUGGACAUUUUGGUCUGUUAUUACAAGAAAUUCUUCCUGAGUGUGUUCCAAAGUGUGAUUUCAUGAUAAGAUGUGUAAGGGGUUUUUAUCCGCAGUCUUGGUUAGCUGCUGUUUUAAAAAAACUGCCUAGACAAUGUUAAUUAUACAUAUAUUUAUGGUAUACUUCCUCUUAAAAAUAGAUUUUGGGCACAAGUUGUGAUAUUGUUUGCAGAAUUUUAAACGACGAAUGAAUUAUGAUAAGUAUUGUUAGUGGAAAUUUCUAAAAUUAAUUUGCAAAUAUAAGAUAAUUCAAAAUUAAGGAAAUCAUCCAGUUGAAAACACAACAUCGAUAAUAUCAUUGAAAUAUGAUCAGUUUGGGCAACUGAUGUCAGUUUUUGAAAAGGCAUACCUUCUUACAGUGUUACAAGCUUUAAGUGAAGUGAAGUCAGUGGAAAUAUUGCAAAUUAUGGUGUUUUUCUUGUUUUGCUUCAUUGAAGUAUAUUAAUUUAAAGCUAGAACAAUCCUUGUAUGUAAAAGUUUUAGGAAUAGCAACAGACAUAGAAACGCAAUCGGAAACCAGUGUCAGAAUAUUAGAAAGAGGUUCUCCCUGUUGUUUUAGCCCACCUGAGCAAAAAGUGCUUAUGAUGUACUUGGAUAGUUGGAUGUCCAACCCCCAUAUAUCAUUGUCUACAAUUUCUUAAAGAACAUUGCCUUCUAAACCACUUUGCCGGUUUCAAGAAGACUUUACAGGAAUGUUUCUUUGGUUAUCCCCUUUCAGAAUCCUUCACAUCUAAUUCAUUCCUGCAGAAUGCUUGUUUUGCCAUUCCAGCCAAAAGGAAACAUUUAAAAAGAUCAUCAUCUUAGACAGAGCUCCCCUGAUUUUGAUCUAGCAUAACAGAUAAUAAUUAUGUUCAUUGGGUGACCCUCUACCGUAUUCCUUCAAUCACUUUGUUUUGUUAAAAACAUGUCGACCAGGUAGCAGAAAUAGUUUUCCCUAUAUGUAUAUGGCUAUAAUUUAAAGAGAACUUUGAAACUGCACGAUUGAUUUUAGAAUAUUUUACAGCAAUGUUUUCCAACUGCAUGUAAGUAGUGUCUGUAUUAAUUAUAGUACAAUAAUGGAAUACUUACAUAUGUUUGAAAGAAUAAAAUUUAAUGAAACAAUUGAAAAAAUGCAAUGAGAAUAAAGUAAAUUGUUUUCUUGUGCAUUUAUUGUAUAUACCUAUCUGUGAGAAGCAUUAUCAGUUAGUUUCUUUAAUUGACAAUAGAAUUAUGCAGAAGAAAAUUGUGUUAUACUUUGGGGAAAAACUGUUUUCAGUAUGUUUUGUGUUUCAUCACAUAAAAGCAACAAGUGCUCAAGGUGAGCGACUGGUGGUCUUCCUUCCUGCACUGUAAACAAUUUGACUGAUAACACUCUGUCACAAUUUUAGCCCAGUCUUAAGGUGUUAGACGCCUAAUAGAGUACCUCCUUUUUGAAGAGUAUUCAAUUCGUACCAUAAACCUACUUUUACUGCUAUUCUCAAUGGGUUGUAGGUUCAAGCCCUACUUGGACCAAAUUUUUAUGCCUCCCGGCAUCUACUGAUGUGGGAGGCAUAUAGUGAUUGUCCUGACCGUCCGUUCGUUCGUCCGUCUGUACGAGGUUAACCAAAUGGGACCGUUUCGUCUAGCAUCAAUACCCCUUACUAAAAUGUCUGUACGAGGUUUACCAAAAUGGGACCGUUUCGUCUAGCAUCAAUACCCUUUACUAAAAUGACAUCACCUGACCUCAGUUUGACCUUGACCUCAUUUUGGACUUAGGUUGCUUUAUAUAGGCCAUCUCUUGGUUAACCAAAUGGGACCGUUUCGUCUAGCAUCAAUAGCGCUUACAAGAAUGAAUUAAUACUAAUACAGAUGUAACCUGUGACCAUUCCUCAUCUUCAAACAUCACCUGACCUCAGUUUGGCCUUGAUCUUGACCUCAUUUUGGACUUUGGUUGCUUUAUAUGGGCCAUCGCUUGGUAAAUCAAAUGGGAACGUUUCGUCUAGCAUCAAUACCCCUUACUAGAAUGACUUGAUACUAAUGCAGAUGUAACCUGUGACCAUUCCUGAUCUUCAGACACCACCUGACCUCAGUUUGACCUUGACCUUGCCCACAUUUUGGACUUAGGUUGCUUAGUAUUGGCUAUCUCUUGGUUAACCAAAUUGGACCGUUUCGUCUAUCAUCAAUACUGCUUACAAGAAUGAAUUGAUACUAUUACAGAUGUAACUUGUGACCAUUCUUCAUCUUCAAACAUCACCUGACCUCAGUUUGACCUUGACCUUGACCUCAUUUUGGACUUGGGUUGCUUCAUAUGGGCCAUCUCUUGGUUAACCAAAUGGGACUGUUUCGUCUAGCAUCAGUACCGCUUACAAGAAUGAAUUGAUUCUAAUACAGAUAUAACCUGUGACCAUUCCUCAUCUUCACACAUCACCUGACCUCAAUUUGACCUUGACCUCAUUUUGGACUUAGGUUGCUUUGUAUUGACAAGGAUGCCACCGGGGACAUCAAGCUCCUUGUUUUUCCUUAUUUUCCUUUUUUUCUAGUAAGUUUUUACUUCUUUCAAGACUUAAAAUUGAUUUAUUGUACAAAAAUGGAAAAAAAAAAUAAUCUGAUAAGUGAUUUCUUGCUUUCAAAGUAAAUUGACUACUUAAACAGAAGAGGUUGAGUUACACAUCUUUAAAAAUAUUGAGUUACAUGCGGUAAAAUUUCUCUAUUUUGCUUUCACUCUUUAGAUUAAAUAUCGUGGAAGAAAUUUAAGUAGGUUUUACGUCUACCCAAAACAGAAACACAGGAUUCGACCUUACUUUUUCAAUGUAGAAGUUAGAAUUCUAUCUCAUUAAAUUUGUUUACUUGAGGUACCCUAGAAAAAAUAUUGACAUUUUAAUUUUUUGUUUUAUAAUUGUUUACCAAUAGUUUGAUGUGUCUUUUAUUAAAAUUAAUGGUAAAAUGAGUUCUCUGCAAACGUUUUGAAUAGUGGCUAUCACUUUGAAAUUUGUCUCUACUUGACUGGGAAAUACCGUAAGUUAUACAAAAUUUAUAAAAAAAAAAUGGCAUGGUAAAAGUUGUUUAAAAAUUGCAAAACAGUGCGAAACAUGGUCACCUUUAAGAAUAUACCAAGCAAAUGCCAUUUUGUAAACAUUACUAUUAGGCAUCUAAUACCUUAAUGAAACUUGUCAAAAUAUAAUUCUCAAUCAAAUUGACAAGUUUGUUACAUUGUCAUGUAGGGUCAAAAGUUAGGUCAGUUUAUAGGAACAUCUUGUAAACAUUCCAGUAUUUGUCUAUUUGAAAUCUAGAACAAGUGCAAAACUGGGUUACUCAUCUCUGUGCACAAAAUCAUGAAAAAACUUGUUAACACUCUAGACACCACACAGGAUGUACAAGGCUGUAGUAAAUUUCAUGUGUGUGCUGGCUGUAGUGGUUAGCAAGUGUGUAAAUAAUUCUGCUUAAAACUGAAUUUUCAAUAUUGUUCAGUGGAAAUGGCAUACUUGUCUUAUAUUCUGCAGUGGACUCUUACAAAGGUCAUUGUUUUCUAAUGUCUGUGUAUAUCCAUUCUGAAUUGACUGUCAUUUGUGUACACAAUUGCAUGUGUAAUGUCAGUAGUGCUCAUGUUACUAGUAUGUUUCAAUUUAUAGAAUUUUAAAAUACCUCUGGUUUUAAUGUUCGUAACAGCUUUGCUGUUGUUUUUUUGUUAGAGAUUGUUUAAAACGAGAAAUGAUCAUUAUUAAUUUACUGGACAACAGACAUAAAUCACAGGUCCAUAGUUUGUGCUAAUGACUGGGCUAUAUUCGUCACAAUGUUUACAUGGCUAAUAAGUCAAACAUUUAGAAAUUUAACUUGCAAUUUCUAAUGUCCUACAUUAAAAUACUUACUGAAUGGUUUGCCAGUCAAUAAAUAUAUAUUAUUACACAACUUUAAUAAAUCACCAGGUCAUAGUUUGUACUAUUGGCUUGUCUAUUGUAGCACUUAAUUUGCUGGGCUAAAGUCAAAAUUCGAAAAAAAAUAUGAAAAUUAAUUUUUGAUGUGAUGUAAUAAAAUGAUUAAUGAAUGGAAAGGACCGUAGGCAAUGGUUUUGACUAUUGAUUGGCAAGUCAUUAGUUAGUUCUUGUAAUUUGUUUUACUGAAUAAUGAAUUGGGGUAUACUACUACUGUCAACACACUGCACUGUACUGUUUGUUUUGGUAAUACAUUGUAUUUAGAACAUAUAUUGAUACGCAGAAAUUUGAUUUCCUAGUACAUAUGAGCCACGCCUUGAGAAAACCAACAUAGUGGCUUUACGACCAGCAUGGAUCCAGACCAGCCUGCGCAUCUGCAAGUCUGUUCAGGAUCCAUACAGUUCGCUAAUGAUUUCUCUAAUUGCAACAGACUUUGAAAGCAAACAGCAUGGAUCCUGACCAGACUGCAGCUCUUGUUUACUGUCCUGUCCAUAACUCUUGUCAUCUAUGAAAGGAUUUUAAUAGUAGUUGGUUUAAAUGUUUGCAAAAAUCAAAUGUUGUGUCAUGCAAAAUACCAAGACCCCUUGUUCAGAAGUGAAGGUCACACGUUACUAGUGUUUUUUUCCUGUCCUGUCCAUGAUUCUGUCUUCUUUGAAGGCAUUCUUAUAUAACAUGGUACAAAGGUAUCCAAUAGUGAGAUGAUAUGUCAUGCACAACACCUAGAUCUAUAACAAAAAGGUCAAGGUCGCACUGAGAGAUCAAAUGUCAAUAGUUUCUUUUUCUGUCCAUCAAGGGAUUUAAAUAUUAUCUGACAUUAAUGUUCCCCAUAUUGCCAAGGUGUGUUGUGCACAACACCCAGAUCCCAGGCUACAAAGGUCAAGAUCACACUUUUUUCCCCGGUGCGGUCCAGAAUUCUAGGCAGCCAUUAAGUGAUUUAAAUUUUUUUUUCGACACAAACCUUUCCAGUAAUGAGACGAUAUGUGUCAUGAACAUAACUCAGAUCCAAAACUCAGCGGUCAAGAUAAAAGUUCAAUAGGGGUUUUCCUUGUCUAGUCCCAUAUAGGUUAUGAAAAUCUCAACCAAACACCUAGAUAUUAUCAAAUGAAACAGUACGGGGGUAUGCACUUUUUCAAAAGUAGUCUCUUGUUUGUUAUAAAUAGUACUUCAAUGGGCAUUGUAGCACCUGCAUGGUUCUUUUCUUUCAAUACAGCUGUAUAUUUUGGUAUUCAUGGGCAAUUGUCAUUGAGCCGCCAAUACUUUUGGUGAUGUGUAAGAAGUAUGAAUAAAAGACUGUGAACUGAAA